UACACUCCUGCGGGAGGCAGCAGUGGGGAAUAUUGGACAAUGGACGCAAGCCUGAUCCAGCCAUGCCGCGUGAGUGAUGAAGGCCCUAGGGUUGUAAAGCUCUUUCACCGGUGAAGAUAAUGACGGUAACCGGAGAAGAAGCCCCGGCUAACUUCGUGCCAGCAGCCGCGGUAAUACGAAGGGGGCUAGCGUUGGUCGGAUUUACUGGGCGUAAAGCGCACGUAGGCGGACUAUUAAGUCAGGGGUGAAAUCCCGGGGCUCAACCCCGGAACUGCCUUUGAUACUGGUAGUCUUGAGUUCGAGAGAGGUGAGUGGAAUUCCGAGGGUAGAGGUGAAAUUCGUAGAUAUUCGGAUGAACACCAGUGGCGAAGGCGGCUCACUGGCUCGAUACUGACGCUGAGGUGCGAAAGCGUGGGGAGCAAACAGGAUUACAAACCCCAGUAGUCCCAUGAU
rnacentral:rRNA from 1 species